rnacentral:rRNA from 1 species
UACGUAGGGUGCAAGCGUUGUCCGGAAUUAUUGGGCGUAAAGAGCUCGUAGGCGGUCUGUCGCGUCGGCUGUGAAAUCCCGAGGCUCAACCUCGGGUCUGCAGUCGAUACGGGCAAACUAGAGUAUUGCAGGGGAGACUGGAAUUCCUGGUGUAGCGGUGAAAUGCGCAGAUAUCAGGAGGAACACCGGUGGCGAAGGCGGGUCUCUGGGCCGAUACUGACACUGAGGAGCGAAAGCGUGGGGAGCGUACAGG